AGUGAACGCUGGCGGUAGGCCUAACACAUGCAAGUCGAACGGCAGCACAGUAAGAGCUUGCUCUUACGGGUGGCGAGUGGCGGACGGGUGAGGAAUACAUCGGAAUCUACUUUUUCGUGGGGGAUAACGUAGGGAAACUUACGCUAAUACCGCAUACGACCUACGGGUGGAAGCAGGGGAUCUUCGGACCUUGCGCGAUUGAAUGAGCCGAUGUCGGAUUAGCUAGUUGGCGGGGUAAAGGCCCACCAAGGCGACGAUCCGUAGCUGGUCUGAGAGGAUGAUCAGCCACACUGGAACUGAGACACGGUCCAGACUCCUACGGGAGGCAGCAGUGGGGAAUAUUGGACAAUGGGCGCAAGCCUGAUCCAGCCAUACCGCGUGGGUGAAGAAGGCCUUCGGGUUGUAAAGCCCUUUUGUUGGGAAAGAAAAGCAGCAGGUUAAUACCCCGCUGUUCUGACGGUACCCAAAGAAUAAGCACCGGCUAACUUCGU
rnacentral:rRNA from 1 species